AAAGAGGUCUUGGUGAGACAUGCACAGAAGAAUCUCAGUGUGAAGUACAAAACGCACAGUGUACAGGGAGUGUAACAAAGACAUGUUCCUGUCAGACGGGAUAUUACCUAGUCAACAACAUCUGUCUCAAGAGAUACCUUGACGAAAGCUGCAGUGAUGAUUCCCACUGUUCACCAGUAAACAAUGGUGAAUGUAGGAACUCAAAGUGUUUAUGUCAUUCUGGAUACUAUCAGUCUGGAACUGGUUCUACAGGCACUUGUACAAGGAGAAGUCUUGGGCAAACAUGUACAGAAACUUCUCAGUGUGAAGCUGAAAAUACACAGUGUACAGGAAGUGAAACAAAGAGAUGUUCCUGCCAGACUGGAUAUUACCCAGAUAACAACACUUGUCUAA